GUGGGGAAUUUUGGACAAUGGGCGAAAGCCUGAUCCAGCCAUGCCGCGUGCAGGAAGAAGGCCUUCGGGUUGUAAACUGCUUUUGUACGGAACGAAACGGUCCGGGUUAAUACCCUGGGCUAAUGACGGUACCGUAAGAAUAAGCACCGGCUAACUACGUGCCAGCAGCCGCGGUAAUACGUAGGGUGCAAGCGUUAAUCGGAAUUACUGGGCGUAAAGCGUGCGCAGGCGGUUUUGUAAGACAGAGGUGAAAUCCCCGGGCUCAACCUGGGAACUGCCUUUGUGACUGCAAGGCUAGAGUACGGCAGAGGGGGAUGGAAUUCCGCGUGUAGCAGUGAAAUGCGUAGAUAUGCGGAGGAACACCGAUGGCGAAGGCAAUCCCCUGGGCCUGUACUGACGCUCAUGCACGAAAGCGUGGGGAGCAAACAGGAUUAGAAACCCUAGUAGUCC
rnacentral:rRNA from 1 species